rnacentral:rRNA from 1 species
UAGGGAAUAUUAGAAAUGGACGAAAGUCUGAUCUAGCAACACCGCGUGAGCGAAGAAGGCCUUUGGGUCGUAAGGCACUUUUUGGAAGGAAUAGGAAGGAAUGUACUUCCAGAAUAAGUCUCGGCUAACUACGUGCCAGCAGCCGCGGUAACACGUAGGAGGCAAACGUUAUCCGGAUUUACUGGGCGUAAAGCGCGUGUAGGUGGUACUGUAAGUAGGGCGUGAAAGCUCCUGGCUCAACUGGGAGAGGCCGUUCUAAACUACAGAACUAGAGGAUGGUAGAGGGAGGUGGAAUUCCAGGUGUAGCGGUGGAAUGCGCAGAUAUCUGGAGGAACACCGGUGGCGAAGGCGGCCUCCUGGACCAUUCCUGACACUCAGACGCGAAAGCUAGGGUAGCAAACGG